GAUGAACGCUGGCGGCGUGCCUAAUACAUGCAAGUCGAGCGAACAGAUGAGAAGCUUGCUUCUCUGAUGUUAGCGGCGGACGGGUGAGUAACACGUGGAUAACCUACCUAUAAGACUGGGAUAACUUCGGGAAACCGGAGCUAAUACCGGAUAAUAUUUUGAACCGCAUGGUUCAAAAGUGAAAGACGGUCUUGCUGUCACUUAUAGAUGGAUCCGCGCUGCAUUAGCUAGUUGGUAAGGUAACGGCUUACCAAGGCAACGAUGCAUAGCCGACCUGAGAGGGUGAUCGGCCACACUGGAACUGAGACACGGUCCAGACUCCUACGGGAGGCAGCAGUAGGGAAUCUUCCGCAAUGGGCGAAAGCCUGACGGAGCAACGCCGCGUGAGUGAUGAAGGUCUUCGGAUCGUAAAACUCUGUUAUUAGGGAAGAACAUAUGUGUAAGUAACUGUGCACAUCUUGACGGUACCUAAUCAGAAAGCCACGGCUAACUACGUG
rnacentral:rRNA from 1 species